rnacentral:rRNA from 1 species
AGAGUUUGAUCAUGGCUCAGGAUGAACGCUGGCGGCGUGCCUAACACAUGCAAGUCGAGCGAUCUUCUUCGGAAGAGAGCGGCGGACGGGUGAGUAACGCGUGGGUAACCUGCCCCAUACACAUGGAUAACAUACCGAAAGGUAUGCUAAUACAAGAUGAUAUAAGAGAUUCGCAUGGAUUUCUUAUCAAAGCUCCGGCGGUAUGAGAUGGACCCGCGUCUGAUUAGCUAGUUGGUAAGGUAAUGGGCUUACCAAGGCGACGAUCAGUAGCCGACCUGAGAGGGUGAUCGGCCACAUUGGAACUGAGACACGGUCCAAACUCCUACGGGAGGCAGCAGUGGGGAAUAUUGCACAAUGGGCGAAAGCCUGAUGCAGCAACGCCGCGUGAGCGAUGAAGGCCUUCGGGUCGUAAAGCUCUGUCCUCAAGGAAGAUAAUGACGGUACUUGAGGAGGAAGCCCCGGCUAACUACGUG